AUACGUAGGGGGCGAGCGUUGUCCGGAAUGAUUGGGCGUAAAGGGCGCGUAGGCGGCCCGGUAAGUCUGGAGUGAAAGUCCUGUUUUUAAGAUGGGAAUUGCUUUGGAUACUGUCGGGCUUGAGUGCAGGAGAGGGACGUGGAAUUCCCAGUGUAGCGGUGAAAUGCGUAGAGAUUGGGAGGAACACCAGUGGCGAAGGCGACUUACUGGACUGUAACUGACGCUGAGGCGCGAAAGUGUGGGGAGCAAACAGGAUUAGAUACCCUGGUAGUCCACACUGUAAACGAUGAAUGCUAGGUGUAGGGGGUAUCGACCCCUUCCGUGCCGCAGUCAACACAAUAAGCAUUCCGCCUGGGGAGUACGGCCGCAAGGUUGAAACUCAAAUGAAUUGACGGGG
rnacentral:rRNA from 1 species